CGGUCUGGUUUGCCUCCCAGCUCUGCUAGCCGGGCUUUAGUAGUGCGCUUUCUCGCGGCUGUCAUAAGUACCACGCUGUUGACUGGGACACCGAUCUCCAAUUCUGUCCUUGAGGCAAUAAAGAUGUGGCGAAGGCCCAAGGUGAGGCCACUGCCGCUGCACUUAGUCCUGCGACUCCCCUAAGGACGGGCCGAGGAAUGGCGGGCUAGCCACUUCCCAGUCCUGUCCCUACGGGGCAGAAAAAGGCUCGGCAUCCCGGGAUCCGGAGGGUCACUUCCCUCGCUGCAUCCCCAUUGUGCAACUGCCAGUCUAAAAAUUGAUAUAGGUAAGCUUAUGAAUGCUAAAACUAAUGAAUGCAAGAUGCUAAAGCAAACAAUUAACUGAAAGGUUGUUGGGAAGAGGAUGUUAGUAUCUCAAAGAAUCACCCUACAGAUCAUUUCUUAUUAUAAAGGGAAAAUAGAAUUUUACACUGAAGAGAUUUAUUAGACAUACCUUAACCAAGUGAAGAUACUUAACAUCGCUAAUAUCACCCGAUAGUAUUUGUGCUAGAAAUGUUUGACAUUAAUCAUGAGGAAACAAUCAGAAAAAAACAAUGUAGAAUAUUCUACAAGACAACAGGCCUAGGCUCUUCAAAAAUGUCAGUGUCAUGACAGGAAAAAGAAAAAAACGAAGUGGAAAAUUGCUUUAGUCGAGAGUCAAAAGAAACCAAAUGAAAUUUGUGAAUCUUGGCUGGUUCAUAGUUUUUAAAAAAAAAAAAAAACUUCGAAAGACAUUUGUGGACAACUGGGGAAAUUUAAAUAUGAACUACAUAUUAGAUGAUAUUGAAUCAGUUUUAAAUUGAUUGCAUGUGAGAAUUAAUUUGUGAUUAAGUGGAAGAAUGCCUUUGUUUUUGGAAGGCGCUUGCUAAAGUAAUUAGCAGCAAAGUGUCACGGUGUUUGCGGCUUACCUUCAAAAGAUAUGGCAAAAAAAUAGAGAAAGCAAAUGUGGCAAAAUAUUAGUAAUUGGUGAAUCUAGUUGAAGGGUAUAAUGGUGUACAUCGUACCAGUCUUGCAACUUUCUAAAAUAACAGAUUUUCUAAAAUAAAAAGAGGAGGGGGGAAAAGGAAUUGAAUUCUAAUCUUUACCAUGGCCUCCCAGGUCCUGCACAAUCAAGUGUCAGCCGACCUCACUCCCCACUAAGUGUACAGUAAGUUGAUCUGCUCUGGAUACCUCAAACACCAACUUCUUUCCAGCAUGUAUGAACCUUUGCAUGGGUUGUUCCCUGUACCUGAAUUCUCUCUUCCCCAUUCAACACGUGGCACUUCCCUUCAUCAUUUAGGUUACGUCUAAAAUAGUACCUUCUUAAAGAAGACUUUCCUGGCUACUGUAUCUCAAGUUAAUCUCCUGGAGAAACUAGAGGCAGCCAGGGAGGAUGCUGUUGAACCAGUUAGGAAGCUGUUGCAAGAGAUCCCAGGAAAAGAUAAUGAUAAUGUGGACUUGGAAGAUGGCAGAGGAGUUGCAGAAAAGUAUCCAGAUUUUAAAGAGAGACUGGAAUUUGAAUCUGGGUGAUCCGGCUUCAGAGUCUGUGCAUUCUUUGGCCUCUCAAAGUUUGGAUCCAACACCCCUGGAAUUCUCUUAAGAAAAUACUAAGUGCUUAACUCCACCUGCAAAGCCAUCUCUAGAAGCAAGACUGAAGCAGCUGACUUUUCAACCCCAAAAUAAUACUUUUGAGUAUGUAUUAAUUGCAAAGGUUUAAAUAACAGGUUCAACAAAAAUUUAUCAGCCACCCACUAAGUGACAGAUGUCUCUACCCUUGAGAGGCCCUUAAGAGGCCUUCAUCUAAAGUAGCCCUUCUCAACCUGGGAUUUCAAGAGACAAUUAAUCCCUAAUGCCUUUAGGCACCCAUUGUAUAUAAUGUAUUAACUUCUUUCAUAUACAUCUAGAUUGGCACUGGUUCUACACCAUCCUGAAAAUAAUUUUUUUAUCUCCUGUGGUUCAUAUGGGGAAAUCCAUAUGCAAAGUAUUUCAAAACAUGACAAAUGUUGUAAUAGAAAUGAACAAGGAAUAAUGGGAGCAGAGUGAGCAUAGCUUAAAAGUAAUGGCUGUGAAGUCAGACUUGAGAUUGAGUAUAAGCCCAGCCACUUAUAGGGCUCAUAAAAUUGUUGUAAGGAUUAAAAUAGCAUAUGUAAGUUAUUUAGUAUAAUCCUGGCACAUAGUAGGUUUCAUAAUGGUAGGAAUAUUUAUUAAAUCUGUUUAUUAAGUCAUUAGAAUGCAAACUCGUUACUAUCUUGGUCCUCUAUAGCCCCAACAUCUAAAACCGUACCUUGCACAAAAACAAGUACUCAAUAAAUACUUUUUGAUGUAAUAAGGGAUGUCUACUAGGGAAGAUUUCGUAAUGUAGCAUGUAGGCUGAAGAAAAUGAUUGGGAUUUGCCAGUGAAUUACAGGAGGAGGCCAUUCCAGGCCAUGGAAGGCUGUGAGACAAUGAUAAAAAGAACAAGAGUUCACAAAAGAUUCCAAAAACUAAAUACCUACUUCAGCAUGACUGUGAACAUUAGCUGAAGUGGAUAAUGGCAGGAGAUGAGAAAAGUAGGCAGAGGCUAGAUCAUAAAGGGCCCUAUAUGACAUGCUAAAGAAGAGCUAGAAUUAUAUUCUGUAAGGCCUAGGUUUUGCUCAGCAGAGGUAUGGAAGGAAGAGUGUAGGAAGAGAAGAAAGAAAAGGAUUGAGUCUUAUGUCUAUAAUACCAAAAUCUUAACAAAGUGCAAAUCAAGAAAUGAGACAACAGGAUGUAGAAGUUUAAGCAUAUUAUUUCAGUGUGCAAAGGUAACCAGUACAGGAAAAAAUAUAUGUAACUAGAGCUAAGUGCUUGUCUGUCUUUGUAGGAAGUAAAUAGAUAUCUAUAAUUGAUACAUGAAGAAAUAAUAUUAGGAAGAGCAUAUCAUUUAAAGAUAUAGUAUUUAUAGUAUUUGGUAUAGUAAUUGCCAAAAAUACUAAAAACACAUUAUAAGAAUAGUUGCCCCUGGAAAGCAGGCCUGGAGAUGUGAAAGGGUGAGAUUUUUUUAUUAUAAGAUCUUUUUGAAUUUGUAAUAAACAUUUUUUAAAAUUUAAUGUGUCCUAGCUGGGCUUGGUGGCUCCUGCCUGUAAUCCCGGUGUUUUGGGUGGCUGAGGUGGUACGAUUGCUUGAGCCCAGGAGUUCAAGACCAGCCUGGAAAACAUGGUGAAGCCACGUCUCUACCAAAAAUACAAAAGUUAGCCAGGUGUAGUGGUGUGCACCUGUAGUCCCAGCUCCUUGGGAGGGUGAGGUGGGAGGAUGGUUUGAGCCUGGGAGGCGAAGGUUGCAGUGAGCCAAGAUCAUGCCAUUGCACUCCACCCUGGGCAACAUAGCCAGAGCCUGUCUCAAAAAAAAAACAAAAAACAAGAAAAUUUAAUGUGUCAGAAAAAAAAGCAUUUCUUUGUUAAUCAUUUACUGUGUAUUAGGCUAUGAGAUCCCAUUACCUCCUUAGUGAAGGAAUCUGACAUAUUUUUCUGGUUUGUAGUUUGCAUGUACAAAGUUUUUCCAAAUGUAAGCUGUCGUGGUGAUUUUUCUUCAGAGUCAACUUGACUAGCUUUAGCCUCAGGAAAAAGGCAGUUGGAAAAAAAAAAAGGGUUAGCUGUAAAACAGCCUUAAACAGGUCCUUUAGGAGUUAUUCCAGAAGAAGGCAUUGUUAUCAUAGAAGAAGAUAGUUUCAAGUGUGUUAUUACCCCUGAAAACAUUCCAGUAGAACAAAAUGUGAAUGUGGAAGAUGGUGAUAUUGAUGAUCCUAACCCUGUGUAGGCCUAGGCCAAUGUGUGUACAUCUUAGUUUUUAACAAAAAAGUUUAAAAAAAAAUAAAAAAAAUUUAAAAUAAAAAAAAGUUCAUAGAAUAAGGAUAUAAGGGAGGAAAAUAUUUUACCCAGCUGUACAGUGUGUUUGUAUUUUAAACUAAGUGUUAUUACAGAGUCAAAAAGUUAAAAGUAAAAGAAAUAUAAAAGUUUAUAGAGUAAAAUUAUAUAUAUUAUUAUAUAUAAAAUAUAUAAUAUAAUAUAUAAUGUAUUCUCAAUAUUAUACAUUUCUCAUAUUUACUAGAAUUUUUUUUCUUUCCAACUUGUAUUUUAGGCUCAAGGGGUAAAUGUGCAGAUUUCUUACAUGAGUAAAUUGCGUGUCACAGGUGUUGUACAGAUAAUUUUGUCACCCAGGUAUUCCACGUAAUACCCAAUUAUUUACUAGAAUUGAAACACUUCUGAAUUAUACUAGCUGUUAAUGAAAAAGAGUCAAAUUCUGGAAAAUAUUUGAGGGGAUUUAUUAUGAGCUAAAUAUGAGUGACCAAGGCCUGAGGCACAGUCUCAAGAGGUCCUGAGAACAUGUGCACAAGGUGGUUGGGUUACAACUUGAUUUUACACAUUUUUGAGGGGCAGAAGUUACAGGCAGACAUCAAUACAUGUAAGGUGUCCAUUAGUUCAGUCUGAAAAGGCAGAACAACUCGAAUUGGGGGUGGGCAGUGCAGGGAGACUUCCAGGUCAUAGGUGGAUUCAAAGGGUUUCUAAUUGGCAAUAGGUUGAAAGAGAUAAGUUAUUAUCUAAAGACCUGGAAUCAAUGGAAAGGAAUGUCUGUGUUAAAAUAAGGGGUUGCGGAGACCAAGGUUCUUAUUAUGCAGAUGAAGCCUCCAAGUAGCAGGCUUCAGAGAGAAUAGAUGGCAAAUGUCUCUUAUCAGACCUGAAAAGGUAUUAUGUAAGACCUUUAGUUAGUCUCUCCUGGAUCAGGAAAAGAUCUGGAAAAGAAAAAGGAUUAUCUAUAGAAUCCUUUUCCCCACAGGAGACAGCUUUGCAGAGCCAUUUCAAAAUAUGUCAAAGAAAUAUAUUUUGGGGUAAAAUACUUCAGUUUCUUUCAGGGCCUGCUGUCAUGUGAUGCUGUGCAGGAGUCAGGUUAGAGUUUGGUAUCUUAUUGCUACAAAGUGUCUGUUUUGCCAGUCUUAAGAUCUCUGUUUUAUUGUUAACGCUGAUCACUUGUGCCUGAAUUCCAAAGGGAGGAGGGUACAAUGAGAUAUGCCCAACCACCGCCCUUCCCAUCAUGGCCCGAACUAGUUUUUCAGGUUUACUUUGGAAUGCCCUUGGCCAAGAGAGGGGUCCAUUCAGUCAGUUGGGGGGGGUUAGAAUUUUGUCUUACAGAACUGUGCUUUACUCAUUUUUAUAACAGUCCAGCCAAAAGUCUGCUCUUAAACCCAAUAGAAAAAGAAAGAAAGACUUAGGAGUGAAUCAGUAAACUUCAGGCAUUUGUAGCAGUUCAUAUUAGACAUUUGAGGAAGAUCUAAACAAAUCUGGGGAAGAUGAGAAUGAGGAAGAAAAGCUGGCCUUCCAAUAGGAACUUAUAAAAGAGUACAUGAAAUAAGGCUCAAACCACAGAAGCUUAAAAGUCAUGAAAAAUGCUAAUGAAUUCUUUCUAAAUUCUAAAUUAAAAGAAACAUUUUAUUAGAGUGUCUAAAAUGUGUUUUAAUUCUGAACUUGAUUAACAAUUCUGAGUCACAGUUGGGAUGUACAAUUUUCAGAACAGUUUAGAAACAAGCAAACAAAAAAGCCUUUUAAAUGAGUGGAUAUUUAGGGAAAACUUGUGGGAGUGUUUGGGACAUUUGCAGUGAGCUCUUUCAUUUUUCCUGAUUGCUCAUUGUGAAGCAGUAAGUAACAGGCAGUAAGUACCAAACAGAUCAUUUGGUACAAAAAGAAAAAUCUGUAUUCAAUAACUAUAAAUUUAGGAACUCUAACCUCUUGCCACAGCAUCUCCAUGUUAUUCAGCAUUGGGGCUCAACCACCAACUGUGUCAAUCAAAUAAGAGUAUCAGGUUCCUGUGCUAAAAAUAUUCCAGCUCAAAUCAUCUUGGCAGACGAUACCAGAAAAAACAAACAUUUUUCUGUCUAUUAAAGUGACCAAAUGUUAGGAGACUAAAUAUAAGCAGAAAAGACAAGUAAUAGCUGCAUAACCUUGAGCAAGAUACUGACUGAGCCUCAGUCUUUUCAUCAUUAAAAUGAUAUUUUUAAUGCAGGUCUACAGUCUUUACUCUGCAAUUCCAAAACAGGACAAAAAACAAAACACUGUGAAACCCAAAGUGUUUUUGUAAGUUUGGCACCAGGAUUAUAUGCCAAAGAAAACCUACUGUGAACAAAUAUGAAGCCUCUGUUGUCUCAGCACUUGUAUCCGUAAGUCACACAUGCCUCUGCUAUUUGCUGAUAUUUUCUGACUUGGGGAUUAAUUCCAUGGAAAAUGUCGAAAAGGGCUAAAGAUAUACCUAUGGGUAACAGUGAGAAGAAGAAAAGGAAGCAUCUGUCUUUAUCAAUAUCUCAGAAAGUGGAGUUAUUGCAGAAACUUGAUGGUGGUAUGUCUGUGAGGUGUCUUACUGAAGAAUAUGGUAUGGGAACCACCACGAUAUAUGACUUAAAGAAACAGACAAGUUGUUGAAAUUUUAUAGUGACAGCGAUAACCAGGAACUAAUGAAAAAUAGAAAAACAUUGCAUAGAGCCAAAAAUGAAGACCUUGACCCUGUGUUGAUUGAAUGGGUUCGACAACAAAGAAGUAAAGAUACACCACUGACUGGUUUGUUGGUCGUGAAACAAGCUAGAAUAUACCAUGAAGAACUGAACUUUGAAGGAGAGUGUGAAUAUUCAGGAGUCUGGCUGCAGAAAUUUAAAAAGUGUCUUGGAAUCAAGUAUCUUCAAAUCUGUGGUGAAAAAGCUUCUCCUGAUGAUGAAGCUACUGAAAAUUACAUUGAUGAAUUUGCUAAGGUAAUAUCUGAUGAAAAUCUUAGCCCUGAACAAAUUUACAGUGCUGAUGAAACAGCUUUGUACUGGUGCUAUGUUCCUAGAAAAACUUUAACAAUGGCUAACAAAAGAGCAACAACAGAUGUCAAAGAUACCAAGCAAAAGUUAACUGUUCUUGAGUGUGCUAAUGCUGCAGGCACACACAAGAUAAAAUUGGCAGUGAUUGGAAAUAGCCUAUAUCCAAGGUGUUUAAAAGGUGUGCAUAAUUUACCUGUACAUUAUUAUGCACACAAGAAAGCAUCAGUAACGGGAAAUCUUUUCCAACUGGUUUGAUAGGCACUUUGUGCCAGCAGCAUGAGCUCAUUGCAAACUGGACUGGAAGACAAUUGCAAAAUUUUGUUGUUUCUAGAUAACUGUUCUGCACAACCCCCUCCUGAACAUCUUGCGAAGAGCAAUGCUUUUGGCAUUGACUUUCCCCCCAGUGUGACGUCUGUAAUACAACCUUGUGACCAAGGAAUUCUACACGCCGUGAAGAGCAAGUAUAAACAGUUUUUUGAAAAGCAUCCUUGCUUCAGUUAACAGAGGCCUGAAAAUCCAGGACAUCCUUAAAGAAUUUAAUCUUAAGGAUGCCAUCUUCACAGUUGCUAAUGCUUGGAACGACGUUGAUAAGUCAACAUUAACAAAUGCUUGGCACAGACUUUGGGCUACAAUUAUGUUUGAAAGUGACCUAGCUGAUGAAGAUUUUGAAAGAUUUCAUGACUCUAAUGAGAAAACAAUGGUAGCAUAAUUCAUUACCUAUGCCAAAAGUUUAUCAGCCAAAAGUGUAAAUAAGUUAGAAGAAGCUAACGUUGAAGAAAGGGUUAACAUUGAUAAUGAUGAACCCAUUGUGCAUCCUAAGAGUGAUGGGGAAAUUGCUGAGAUGGUGUUAAAUGCAGAUCAAUAUGAAGAUGGUAGUAGUAAUGAUGAUGACAUUAUGAAUUUGGGUGAAAAAAAUCUCCAUAGAUCAUAUGGUGAAAAUGUGUGACCAAUUAAUUGCUGGCCUUGAACGAUGUACAUUCAUCAGUGAGCAAGAGCUGAUGACAAUUUACUCAAUUAAAGAGAAACUGCUUAGACAGAAACCUGUGUUAAGGAAGCAGGUGAAACUGGGAAAAGUCUUUAAUAAAGCUCUCUGUGGUAAUGCCGCUUCAUCUCUUGACAAUCCUGUUUCUGGCUCAUCAGAUGUCCAGCUCCAACCUGGUUUCAUAGGCAGUGGUAAUACUGGAACAACCUCUUCUCCAAGAUUCUCAGGCAAUCAAAGGUAAUGAACAUUCAUUGCAUGUAUAUGUGUUAUGGGUUAGUUUUCAUCAGUAUAAGUUUUAAAUUUUACUUAAAAUUUCCUUAGAAAUAAGAAGCUUUUUCACAAGUGACAAAACACAUUAAAAGCUUAUGGUAUGUGUGGUCUAUAUUUAUCUUCCUAUUUCAUUUACCAAUAAACGUAUUUAUUUAAAAAUGUUAUUUACCAAUGAAUUUACUAAUAUAUUUUUGUAAAUAAAUUGUAAUAUUAUUUAUGGUUUUGUUUCACUUAGUGUGAAUUUUCACACAUUUAUUCGCAGAAAUAGUAAGAUUAAUGUGUUUCAUUACAUAGUACUGUCGUGUACCCAUUUGGAAUGUUACAAAAUGUAUGCAAUUUAUGUAGUAUAUUCCAAAGGAUUCCAAUUUCAUCCUGAAUUCCAAAAAAUUCUCAUUUCCAAAACACAUUUGGUCCCCAGAGUUUUAGAUAAGAGAUUAUAGACCUGUGAUUCUUUUUUGUUGUGAAUGAUCCAGUGAAAUGAUCAAUGUAAAAUGUCUCGCACAAAGUAAAUGCCCAUUAAGUGUAGUUGCUAUUAUUAAUAUUGCGUUACUCUACUUUAAAAAUGUAAGACAAGCUUUUUCUGACAUUGAAGUUAGCAAUAGCAUAGGUAAUGAUAUGCAUUCUUCAAGUUUUAUUACUCUAAGAGAUGCUUUGGCAAUGUGCUGCUGAUAAAGUGUAUUAGAGUAUCUCCUAAAUCUUCAUCCAAGAAUGGAAACAUUUUGCAAAUCAGAGGAUAGAAAAUGUUAUGCUACAUCAAAUUAAAUUGCAUGUUGAUAAAAUAUGAACACAUCUAGUUAGCCCUUAUUAAUCAAAGAAAUAUAAUAUUUUUAUCUGCUGCUAACUAUCCCCUCAGCUCCGUGUGCCAUAAGCACCACACAAACAAUAAUUUAAUCUCCCUUGUGAGCAAAGAUUGAUUUUUAACCCUCUUCAUAUAAUUUCAGCUAAUAUUAUAAGACCUUGAACAUAGCUGAAUACAUAAAAUUGGUAUUCUGUUUUGUAAGGAAAGCUGUUAUUAGCCUGAUGAAUGUGAAUUGAUUCCUGUGGCCUUGUCUUCUUUGUUUUGUUUUUUUGUAAUGUUUGUUCAUUUAAAAUAUAAGAUGUGUUGCUUUUCUCUCAUUAUAAAAGGCAUACAUCAUUCUUGUAGAAAACAUGGAAAAUACAAUUUAUAAAGAAGAAAAUAAACUCAUCCCUAAUGUGACAACCAGUGAUACAAUCACUCUUAACAUUUGUUUACUUUCAAAGCUAUCUAUUGCAUUAAAGUGUAAGCCUUAUGGGGGCAGAAACCAUGUCCAUUCAUUCCUGUUCUCCACCCUGGCCUUGCUAUCUUACCGUAGUAGGCAUAUAACACAUUUAAAGGAAACACACACUCACACGCUUAGGGACCAAACUAUAUUCACAGGAUUUUUGGCCACAUUACUUUUAGUGAACACUAUAUUGUGAGAAUUUUUCCGUAUGAAUUCUAUUUGAUUUGACAAACCCAGAUUUUCUACACUGCAUUCAGCUUAUCCUCUUUUCUUCUGGGACUUUCUACUCACAGGCCCAAGGGUAAGCAUUAUUCUGCAGUCCCUCUGCCAGAGUACCUACCUUCUCUAUUGUUCUGAACAUUUUUCCAUCAUAGUUGCCCCUCUUAUUUCCCAUUAACUCAUGCUGCAGCUUUCUGCUAGCUACUCUUACCAGGUAUAAGAAACCUUCACCAUCAUGUAAACUCAUAUACAACCUGACUGGUGAUUGGCUCCCAUUCUCUACUCAACAUAUUUCUUCAAUUGGGGUGAGCUAAAUUUGCACAGGAGAGGCUUGACAUGGAAGGUAGAGAGAAUCCCAGAUAGGAUGGAACAGCAACUUCAUCUUGGUAAGUAGGAAUAUGGAGAGUAGGUCCUGUGUCCACAAUAUUAUCCAUUCCAUUAUCUUAGGAUCAGUCGUAGAAACAAGUCCCAUUCAAUUGGAAGAUGCCUGGAAUCACUGUCCUGACCUGGAAAUCUCAGCUACACACAUGAUUAGCAGUCUGUCCCACCGAUACCUAAACUAAAAUGAAGAACCGGCCACCAGAUGAUAUGAAACCUUAUAUCAUGAGCCAAAAUCUAGGAACUGGCCUCAUGUCAUUGAAUUUUUGAACAUCAUUGACCAUGUUAUGUCAGGCUUUUUCUGUAACUUGUGCAAAAUCUAACAAUGGAUAAUGUUCUCCCUCCUCUCCCAACUAAUAUGGUUUACAUUAGCUGUUCAUUUGUUUAACCUAGGGAUAGGAGUCAUCUACAGUGUGAAUUCCAGUUGCUUAGUGGCUGCCUGAAAUGCAUGUCUGAACAUUUGAAGCCAUGUUUUUGCUUAGUGUGUAGUGGUCAUGUGUUGAUAUCUGCCAUUGGUACAGAAAGUAGAAAUGGCAUAGCAUAUGCCAUCUGUCCCUUAUGGGGGCCUUAAAUUUUCCUAUUUACAUUUGGUUCAGACCUUUUGCUUUGCUCAGCUAGUGUAAUUUAUAAGUCAUCUCACAAUCUCAUAUUCUUAUUCUGCAUUAUAUUGCUCUAGCCAUGGACAGGGACCCCUUUUCCUUGACAUACACACAAGCCAUUUGUGUGUAUGUUGGUCACAAUUAAAAGGCUAUAGUGAUGGAAAGAGUACUUUCACAUAAACCAGACAUUUAACUUUGGACACUCCUGUCUUUAAAAGUCUUUCAAAUGAACCCUCUGAUAUUGAAUUGGAAUCUAAUGUAUUAGUAUGAACUCAUAAUUUUUAUUAUUUUAGGGACAGAGUCUCACUGUGUCACCCAGGCUGGAGUGCAAGUGGCAUGAUGAUAGCUCACUGCAGCCUCAAAUUACUGGGCUCAAGCAAGCCUACCACCUCAGCCUCCCAAAUAGCUGGGACUACAGGUGUGUGCCACCAUGCCAGGUGAAUUUUUUGUAUUUUUUUGUAGAGACAGGGUCUCACUAUGUACCUAGGCUGUUCUCAAACUCUUGGCCUUGAGAGAUCCUCCCACUUCAGCCUACCAAAAUUCUCGGAUUACCGGCAUGAGCCACUGUACCUGGCAACUCAUCAUUUUUAAUACAUAUACAUGGUUAGAUACAGAAAUAUAGAAGUGUAUACACACAAGGGUAUGUACACAGGUCAGUGUAUACUAACAGGGGUUAGUAUACAUGCAAAUAUUCCCAGUGAUAGGGCCUAAAAGCAAUGAUACUCCAGUAAUAAUGAGCAUGCCUAGUACCCAGAUUUGAUUUUUAAAUCCAUUCUUAAAUAAAAGGAACCAGGGUUCCUUCAAGAACUUGUUGGUCCUAGGCAGGUCAGGGAAAUUACAAAAUGAGCCUGUAAUAUCUCAUGGUGCCAGAAAGUAAGGAAAUGCUUUAAAAUAAAGUAAGAUUUAUCAAAGGUACAUAGGCAUCAACCUAAAGAAUCUCCAAAAGACCAAAGCUGGAACAAUUUGAACAACAAGCUAAAUAAUAACCAUACUACCCAUAGUGGAUUAUAACCCACGUGGUAAAAUAAAUAUUCCUGUGACCUUAUAUUGAAGUAAUUGAUUAAAUAAAGAAGUAGGGGAGAAGAGACAGCUCUUCCUUGGAGUAGAAUUCUGUGGUGGCUAAAGCAGCUCCAUCUUGGAUGAUGCUCUGCCAUGUUGGCUUCUGAUUAACCCCUGUUCUGGGAAGGCCACCAAGAUUUCUAGUUUAUCUGUUGCUUUUUGUGUAAGAGCAGGCACUUACCUUAAAUCCUGACCUUAGGCUAAACAACCUUGAUGUUAUCAUACUUCAAUUACCCUACACAUCCUUUCUGAACUACCCCUCCUUUAUGGUGUAUAAGACCUGGGUCUUGGGGGUAAUGGCGUGGGGACCUACCGUCUCGUCUUGUGCCCAUCUGAGACACAGACAUGGCUUCUGUUCAUUUAAUGUUUCUAAGAAACUGGAUGUUUUAUUAACUGUUUCUUUCUAAGAAGAAACAGGAUUUGUCAGCAUCUUUGGCCUCUCAGCUUCCUCAGACUUGGGGGCAGGUUUGCCCAGACCUGGCCACUGCAGAAAAAAAUCUAACUAAUAAAGGUAGAAGGAUAGAGAGAAAUAGAAAAUGACCACUAGGCAGACACCACAAUGAUAAUUAUAGCAGAAAGGAUAUAUAGAUGGAUGCUAAAAUCUGUGAGUGAAAGUUUGAGUUGAAACAGACUGCAUAGUCUCAAAGCAUUUUCUCCAGACAUUUAUUAACUAUCCAGAGAAAAAUAAGAACAUUACAAUGGAGAAACUCAGCAAAAACCUCCUUAAUCAAGUGGUAGGUCAACAUCACUAGUAAUACAAGAAUCAUGAAUCGCAUUAUAUGAUGCACACAUACCAUUACAUGAGAACGCAGUGUCAUUUCUGUGGCAUUCUUGUCAAAAAUGCAUAACCUCAGUCCAAUCAGAAGAAAACUUGUCGGGCACGGUUGUGCAUGCCUGUAAUCCAGUACUUUGGGAGGCUGAGGCAGGAGGAUCACUUGAGGCCAGGAAUUUGAGACCAGCCUGGGUAAUGUGGCAAGACCUCAUCUCUACUAAAAAUAAAAAUAAUUAGCAGGGAGUGAUAAUGCAUUCCUGUAGUCCCAGCUACUCAGGAGGCUGAAGUGGGAGGAUCACUUGAGCCCAGGAGUUCCAGGUUACAAUGAACUAUAAUCACAUCACUGCACCCAUCCUGGGUGACAGAGCAAGACCCUGUCUCUAAAAAAUAAAGAAAAGGAAAGAAAAUACAAUUUGAGGGAUGUUCAACAAAAUAACUGAUCAGUACUCUUCAGAUGUAUCAAGGUCGUGAAAGAGCAGGAAGGACUAAGAAGCUGUUACAGUCUACGGAAGACUGAGAAGAAAUAACUAAAUGCAAUGUAGGAUUCUGGAACAGAAAAGGGACACUGGUGGAAAAACCGACAAAAUUCAAAUAAGGGCUUAUAGUAUAAUAAGUAAUAUUAUACCAAUGUGUAUUUCCUGGUUCUAAUAAUAGUACUGUGGUUAUGUAACAUGCUAACAUUUAGGGGAGCUGUGUGCAGGGUGUAUGGAAACCCACUAAACUAUUUUUGCAUCUUUUUCGUAAACUUAAAGAUUGUUCACAGUAAAAAAUUAAAUGAUGUUUUGAAAAUAAAGAGCCCUUCAGCCACCCCAUCUGAAGGGAAUGCCUCCUUCCAAGCCACUGUUUUCUACAGGUUCAGGCUCCAGCCGUGAUAUGCAAGCCCAUCUCACUCCACACCUCUCAUCCUCCAGCCUUCCCUAGGGUCAUCCUUCUCAAUUUAUUAUGCAGAAUGACUUGUCUCUCCACCACUAACUAACAAAGGCCAACCUUUGUACAUCAAAAACUCAUUAAUAUGUUGAAACACGGGAUGGUGUAGUCCAGGUCUUUCCUUUAGCAGCCCAGAGGAACCAGCAGAGGCUUCAUAAUUUUAGGCUUUCCUUUCUCCAUUUCCCAGGCCCUGAGAAGAGAAGAUCAGAAUAAAGAUUGGUUUCCUCAUUGAUGUGAAUUUUGUCACAACCUCCAUCUUUGGAAUUCAGAUGUUACUAUGGUCAGUUUGGGUUUAAAUAACACUUCUGUUUUCUCUAUGUUACACUCCUAAGGUUGUUAGGAUCCUAUGAGCCUAUUUAAUUGUUUUCUUUAAAUGAUGGCAUAUCUAAAAAUUAUCUUUAUACUUUGAGAAUAUUGUUGGAUUAUCUUAAAAACCUCCAUUCCUUUGUUAAGUAAUCCAUUUUUGUUUUACUUUGUUUUCUUUUCAGAAGUAUUAAGAUAUUUCUCUUUAGUUUUCUGAAACUUUACCAUGAACUGUCAAGGUAUGAUCUGGAGUCUUUCAGUUUGUGUUUGUAUUUAUUUUAAAUAGCUCAUGGGCCCUUUCACUGGCAGUUUUAUUUCUUUGAUUGAUAAUAAGAUAUUUUAAGGCUGGGCACAGUGGCUCACACCUGUAAUCCCAGCACUUUGGGAGGCCGAGGCGGGCGGAUCAUGCGGUCAGGAGUUGGUGACCAGCCUGGCCAACGUGGUGAAACCCUGUCUCUACUAAAAAUAUAAAAAUUAGCUGGGCAUGGUGGUGCAUGCCUAUAAUUCCAGCUACUGGGGAGCGGGUCAGAAGAAUGGCUUGAACCCAGGAGGCGGAGGUUGCAGUGAGCCGAGAUUGUGCCACUGCACUCCAGCCUGGGUGACAAGUAAGACUCUGUAUCAAAAAAAAAUAAAAGUAUUUUAUUCUGUUA